ACUGUAUUUAUUUGACGUAUAUGCUUCCUGACAAUACUUAGGUUUUUUACUACAUGGUAAAUGAAAUAAAAUUUCUAAUAUGCUAGACGUACUAUGGUAAUUGUUAGUUUCAUUAGUAUUUCUUGGCAAACCAUCGUUCUUUCUUGGUCUGCUGAAAAUAAUUGUCAUCAAUUUUUCUUUACAUUGCCUAUAAAGAAAGUGAUGUUUUUAAGAGAUAUUUCUGUAACAUGAGCAAUGGUGCUUGCUUCUUAUAUCCCAUAUAUUGUUGAAUUAUGUGCUUGUGAGGCAAAACGGUCAUGGCGGUCCUGCACAAGUGGUGAACGACUGGAAGGGGCGGCACCACGACGGUCAAGGUGGUUCAUACCCAGCCGGGGAGGACGACGCACUGCGAUGGGCACGGAAAGAUGUUGCAGCAGCGAACGAGGAGGCGGAUGCACAAAGGAGAGGAGGAAAAGCGCGCUCUGGUACUAAUCCAAGCCCGCCGGCGACUCCCCCAUAUGGAUCAAGAUACUCCAAUUUCUGCAUAAGUUCUCCUUGGUACCAAUUUGCAUAUGUGCAGGGUCGGAGCCUUUGGUCUGUUUGCAACUAGAAUUUGAGACACUGGUACAGAGUACGUGUUGGGAAUAUAUACUGAAGAUGCCGAGUCCCGGGCUUCCCCGAACUUGGCUCUCCAGGCUGCAAUCGACGGAGGCCGGCCUUGCUUAUCUCCCCUCAUGGCCGAUCAAGGAGGCGAACAGUGUCAAUCUGUCAUCGACACCUCAGGGUCUAAAAAACAAGCACCGGGUCCUUCUCCUCCAUGAAUCAGAUGUCAACGAGGCAACACGAAUCUGCAUGAGGCUGAACAUGAAAGAAACAAAAUGGAGACAACUCGACGAGUUUAGGAACAACAUGUAAUCGACGAGUUCAGACAUUUAUAUGUGCACAACAUGUGCCUUCUAAUUACGAGGCGUCUACUGUUUCUGAAUUUUGGGGUGGCAGCAACAAGGGCGAGGAGCAUGAUCGUGACACAGAGAUGGGCAAGUGCAGGGAAUGCAGGCAGCGGAAAGUUGUUGCAUUGCGGUUACCAACUACAAGGCCAAAUAUGUCGGCAGCCAUCCACGCAUUAACUAAUUUACGGCAGUGCUUUUGCUGGAGAUGGAAAUUCAUAGAGAUGACGCCCUAUUGAUAGAGGCGAGUGGACUGGAGGUGUGCGUUGCACUGAGGGCAAAUCAAAGGCUGAAAGUUUGUCAAAUUUCCUGUGCUUGGGUAUGGCUGGUUUGUAAGCAAAUGAGGAUACUCUGCCUUUUUACAGUGGUAUAUUGUUUAGUGAGGGGAAGGUACUCUCUUUUUCUAGACGGAAGAUCAUCUGCUUUGUGGCAAGGGGAUAUAUCGUGUUACUUCUCCCCCAUUUUUGUAUGUCUAAAUUCAGUAACAAGAUUAUACUCCUUGUUAAUUUUCCACGGCGUAACUUCGUAACUACGCGUUUCUC